rnacentral:rRNA from 1 species
UACGGAGGAUGCGAGCGUUAUCCGGAUUUAUUGGGUUUAAAGGGUGCGUAGGCGGCUUAGUAAGUCAGCGGUGAAAUUUUGCAGCUUAACUGUAACAGUGCCGUUGAUACUGCCAGGCUAGGAUUUGGUUGCUGUGGGUGGAAUGUGUGGUGUAGCGGUGAAAUGCUUAGAUAUCAUACAGAAUAUCGAUUGCGAAGGCAGCUCACAAAGCCAAGAUUGACGCUGAGGCACGAAAGUGUGGGGAUCAAACAGGA